UCCUCGGUGGCUCAGAUGGACAGAGCGUCUGCCAUGUAAGCAGGGGAUCCCGGGUUCGAGUCCCGGUCGGGGCA
rnacentral:tRNA from 1 species